GCCCUGGGAAUGAACUAGCAUGCGAGUCAUUGUAGCAAUACAAGGCAUACGGCUCAGUAACGCGUAGUCAACCUGCCCUAUGGACGGGAAUAACCUCGGGAAACUGAGAAUAAUGCCCGAUAGAACAUUAUAUCUGGAAUGGUUUAUGUUCCAAAUGAUUUAUCGCCGUAGGAUGGGACUGCGGCCUAUCAGUUUGUUGGUGAGGUAAUGGCCCACCAAGACUAUUACAGGUACGGGCUCUGAGAGGAGUAGCCCGGAGAUGGGUACUGAGACACGGACCCAGGCCCUAUGGGGCGCAGCAGGCGAGAAAACUUUGCAAUGUGCGAAAGCACGACAAGGUUAAUCCGAGUGGUUUGUGCUAAACGAACCUUUUGUCAGUCCUAGAAACACUAACGAAUAAGGGGUGGGCAAGUUCUGGUGUCAGCCGCCGCGGUAAAACCAGCACCUCAAGUGGUCAGGAUGAUUAUUGGGCCUAAAGCAUCCGUAGCCGGCUCUGUAAGUUUUCGGUUAAAUCUGUACGCUCAACGUACAGGCUGCCGGGAAUACUGCAGAGCUAGGGAGUGGGAGAGGUAGACGGUACUCGAUAGGAAGGGGUAAAAUCCUUUGAUCUAUUGAUGACCACCUGUGGCGAAGGCGGUCUACCAGAACACGUCCGACGGUGAGGGAUGAAAGCUGGGGGAGCAAACCGGAUUAGAUACCCGGGUAGUCCCAGCUGUAAACUAUGCAAACUCAGUGAUGCAUUGGCUUGUGGCCAAUGCAGUGCUGCAGGGAAGCCGUUAAGUUUGCCGCCUGGGAAGUACGUACGCAAGUAUGAAACUUAAAGGAAUUGGCGGGGGAGCACCACAAGGGGUGAAGCCUGCGGUUCAAUUGGAGUCAACGCCGGG
rnacentral:rRNA from 1 species